ensembl:lncRNA
UGGCAAUCUAAGGUGGCUGCAGCACUAGGCAGUUGAGCUCCACAUAUCUCUUAAGGAAAGCUACUCAGUUGCCCUUAGAGAGUGGUGUGCAUUAGACUGCUGCUGUCUUGUCAGAUGCCGUUUUGUUUGUUAUGCACUACUUUUAUAACGUAUAGUGAUUUGGGAUGUGUUGGUUUUAUGUUGAUCUUUUAUUGAUUGUUUAACGUUUUAUCUUUUCUUUUAUUGUUUUAGUGGAGGUGCGGCCGCUUGUUCAGAGGCUAGGCACAUGAGGUGGAAUCCCCUCCCCGAUGCAUGCGAGUGUACACACCGGGCAUAGGCAGAUUGCACCAUUUAGAGUUUAGUGUGAGUGAGGUUUGCUGUGAAAUCACACGGGCACCCACAGGGAGGGCACCGCAGAAGACAAGGGAUAGCAAACCGAACCAAAGCUUAAGAGUGACACUAGCCAGCAUGACAAGGGCGCUGCAGCAACACCUGCAACUGCACACAAUGACCGCUCCCACAAGGCGUCCACACCAACCCAGACUGCUGGGCACAGGGCAGCAGACCUAUAGGAUGGACCGCAGGACUGCACCACACAGGACAGCACAAUGCAGUUUAGAAGAGAAAAGAAAGAGCUGACUUCACUCAGAGAUGGUGAGAGAAAGAGGAAGAAGAGAGGUUAGAUUUAAAGGUAAGGGCUGCUCAGUGGUCUCUUAUAAACUGUACAUUUAAAGCUUACAUGUAAGUUCUCACAUUUUUAAAUCAGAUACUGGGUCUGCACAUGUGACAUUAUUUUUUUCCAAAGACUAACUGUGUUAUGUAGAGGAUGAAUGACAAUCUGCAGGAUUAACUGGUUAGCUUGCUGUGCUGGAUUUAUACCAAAACACUUUGUUGGACUGAUGCAAAGUGGCUGUCGUGUUCCUGGUCAAACAU